rnacentral:lncRNA from 1 species
GAUUAGAGUUAGUAUAUGGAACUAAGGGUAUUUGGGAUUUAAGGGUAUAAAAGAUUAAGGGUAUAUGAGAUCAGGUGUAUGUAUAGAAAUAGGGUUAUUUGGGAAUUAGGGAUCUAUUGAAAUAGGAGUAUUUGGGAUUAGAGGUAUUUGAGAUUAGGGUUAUUUGGGAUUAAUAGAUCUUUAGGAAAAGGGGUAUAUGGGAUUUAGGGAUAUUUGAAAUUAAGUGAGUAUUUGGGAUUAGAGGUAUUUGAGAUUAGGGUUAUUUGGGAUUAAUAGAUCUUUAGGAAAAGGGGUAUAUGGGAUUUAGGGAUAUUUGAAAUUAAGUGAUAUAUGAGAAUAUGAGUAUUUGGGGGUUUAGGGAUUAAAGGGUAUAUGAAAAUAAAGGGUAUUUGAGAUUAAAGAGUAUUAGGG